rnacentral:rRNA from 1 species
CCUACGGGUGUCUGCAGUGGGGAAUAUUGCGCAAUGGGCGAAAGCCUGACGCAGCGACGCCGCGUGAGUGAAGAAGUAUUUCGGUACGUAAAGCUCUAUCAGCAGGGAAGAAAAUGACGGUACCUGACUAAGAAGCCCCGGCUAACUACGUGCCAGCAGCCUCGGUAAUACGUAGGGGGCAAGCGUUAUCCGGAUUUACUGUGUGUAAAGGGAUCGUAGACAGCAGCGCAAGUCUGGAGAGAAAUCCCAUGGCUUAACCAUGGAACUGCUUUGGAAACUGUGCAGCUAGAGGGCAGGAGAGGUAAGCGGAAUUCCUAGUGUAGCGGUGAAAUGCGUAGAUAUUAGGAGGAACACCAGUGGCGAAGGCGGCUUACUGGACUUUAACUGACGUUGAGGCUCGAAAGCGUGGGGAGCAAACAGGAUUAGAUACCCUUGUAGUC